rnacentral:sRNA from 1 species
AAUCGUUAUAAGCAAUUCCCGAUGGGGGAUCAGUAAGUAAUUAUGCUUACUCAUCACUGCCUUGUAACCGAAAUUUUGUAACAUCGUAUUUUGAUGUAGGGGGAAUUAUCAAAUG